rnacentral:tRNA from 1 species
GAGGGAUGGCAGAGUGGUUGAAUGCACCGGUCUUGAAAACCGGCGUGCCGCAAGGCAUCGGGGGUUCGAAUCCCUCUCCCUCC